UACAGAGGUCUCAAGCGUUGUUCGGAUUCAUUGGGCGUAAAGGGUGCGUAGGCGGCGCGGUAAGUCGGGUGUGAAUCUUGGAGCUUAACUCCGAAACUGCAUUCGAUACUGCCGUGCUUGAGGACUGGAGAGGAGACUGGAAUUUACGGUGUAGCGGUGAAAUGCGUAGAUAUCGUAAGGAAGACCAGUGGCGAAGGCGG
rnacentral:rRNA from 1 species